rnacentral:lncRNA from 1 species
GGCUAGCCAUAUGUAGAAAGCUAAAACUGGAUCCUUUCCUUACACCUUAUACAAAAAUUAAUUCAAGAUGGAUUAAAGACUUAAAUAUUAGACCUAAAAACCAUAAAAACCCUAGAAGAAAACCUAGGCAAUACCAUUCAGGACACAAGCAUGGGCAAUGACUUCAUGACUAAAACACCAAAAGCAAUGGCAACAGAAGCCAAAAUUGACAAAUGGGAUCUAAUUAAACUAAAGAGCUUCUGCACGCAAAAGAAACCACCAUCAGAGUGAAGAGGCAACCUACAG